ensembl:lncRNA
CGGACCGACAGAUGAACGAUGAUAAAAUGACAUUUUAGUCGACUAUCAGGGGGCAGCCCUAAAAAUCUCAUCUUAAAUGGUUAAAAACUCAGUAAGUUUGUCGAGAUGACCUGCGAGUUCUUUUGUGUAUUUUAUUUGAGUCGUCUGGAUUUCUGUAAAACUGCAUUAUGACCAUUUCUGUGAGGCGUGUUUUACGAACGAACUUAAAAUGAAAUGAAUUGACAUUUUUACUUUCAACCUCGUGCUUCGUUAGGUCAUGUGAUGAUCCCCAGUCGCAUCCUCUCCACACACACACACACACACACACACACACACACACACACACACACACACACACACACCCCUACACCUGGGCUCAGGUUGAUAUCCUCUGUAGCGCUGUUAAGCUUUCCAGCUGCGGAGUUGAGAUUAUAAAUAGCUCUUAACGUCUCCGCUGCUGGAUUUUUGCUGGUCAGGAGAAUUCACACUGCAGACUCCAGCAAGCUUUUCCUCCAGAGCGCUUCUCCGAGGAGAACCACACGCUAAUGCUAACUGACUCGACCGUUCCAUCCGUGAGCGCCUUUCGGUUAUUCGUUCGGGAUCGUUAGCAUUAUUAUUAUUAUUAUUAUUAUUAUUAUUAUUAUUAAUCCAGGUGUUUACUUUUGUGUUCAGUUUUUUAAAAAUUAUUAAUCCGGUUUCUUGAUCAAACUGUUUGUGAAACUCUUUUGGGCGGACAGUUAUGAAGUUUCUGUGACCCCUGACCUUGACCGCCCGGUUAAAAUUCCAGAUGUAUAAUAUAGGACUACUGUAACAUUUGAACGUUUAUGAUGUCAGUAACAAACAUCACAAUGUGCAACACAAGUGAUUUAAAACCAAAAGGAAUAUUCCUGACACGCCUUUACCAGGUUAACGAGAAGUGUUCAGCUGUUUAUCGCGUGCAGACGUAGCGGCGGCGUGAUCGGCGUCGCCGCGUAUCUUUAGGUACACGCGGAUGCGGCGUUCUCCAGACUCUAAGCGGAACGUAGCUGUCCGUCAGGUGGCCAAGUAGAACUGUAAAACGUUAAGCGACUUCCUACGCGUGAGCUUCUGUACCGCUUUAAACCUUCCGGCUGUCGUCGCGAUCGUCGUCAUGAUCCGCGUCUCAAACCGACUUCCGAGAUGUUCCAAAGUCUUUGCUCGUUUAGAAAAUCCAGAAGUCUGAUGCUCGGAUCGGACGACACGAGAGGUUUUCACAGUUGAAACGCUGACUGUGAUGGGAUUCCCGGUUAGCGGUGGAGAUCCGGGACGGUCUGGAAUCGUCCGCGGGUAUGAGAUCUGAGACACUGCAGCAGUGCGGCGUGUCCGCGUAAUGAGAAGGUGUAUAAUAACACGUGCGUUAUUAUUUCACACGGAGGUUUCGGGCUUCGAGUCGUGGUGUACGGUCUGACGUGUUAAAACGCGUUUCUGUCUCCUGCGGCGGAUAAAGUGCCGCUUCUCUACUUUUAUAAUAAUGGGAUAAUAAAGAGGGGGGGAAAAGAUCAACGGAAAACUUGUACGAUUAUGAAUAUGUAGCAUCGUCGGCGUCUGAGACGUGAACCCGGCUUUUAAUCCGUCUAAAUGAAGGCGUGCAGCGUUUUCUCGUAACGAACGACUUCUGUGAUGCGCGCUGACCUUGUCGAGCUCGUUUUGGAUUUAAGCGGAGCUUUUGAACUAAAUAUAUGCGUAAUAUUUCUGCAUGAGUGGCGUGUUUAUGCAGGAGCUCAUUCAGUUAUUCACUAAGAGCAGGAAGAAACGUGGCUGUAGUCCAUCUCGUCUUAAUAUUCAUCAAGGGUGUGUGUGUGUGUGUGUGUGUGUGUUUUACUAGUGUUCAUUUUAGGAUCUGUCAGACCUUGCUUUUGUCGUACGUAAAACACGUACACAUUAGCAGCGUCUGAUAAUAUAAUUUGGUGUGAUGUCGCGUGAUUGGAGGGAAUGUCGUUGAUGUCGUGAAGGAGUUUCGCAGCAGGCCUACACACAUAUGAGAGAGAGAGGGGGGGGAUUAUCUGAGUGGCAGCAGGACAUCCUCGUCUGUUCUGUAUGCCGAGUGCUCAGGCUCCUGGUGGUCUUGGUCUGUCAUCUCAUUUUGUGCGAAAUGAACAUAAGUGGAACGACGACUCUCGCAGCUGAGAGAAUUUUUAUUUUUAUUUUUAUUUUUUUUGUCUGUUUAAGGACAUCAUCAUCAUCAUCAUCAUCAUCCGACGAAACGCCUCACGUGUCUCCUGGGACGCAGCCAGCCAGGUGGACGAGGGGAAAAAAAAAAUACUCUGAACGGUUAGAGGAUGGCUGGCUCUCGCACGCUUUCACACGCUCUCGCGCUCUCUCGCACACUCGGACAUCUGCUCAGACUGGCCGGCUCUCAUUGGCUGCGAGUUGCUCAUGCAAGCUGCCUAUUCGCUGGAUCUGUUACUAGGAAGAUUCCGUUAGAGGACCCUAUAGGGGAGGUCACCUCGCACGACAACAUCAACAAACCCGGCCGGCUCGGCACUCGGAUUUAUUUAUUUAUUUAUUUAUUUAUUUAUUUAUUUAUUUAUGGAUUUAUGAGGGCAUGACCAUAGAUCUAUAAAUCCUUACAGAAUGCCUUUAGUUUUUAAUUCUUUCUCUUUUGAAAUGUUUUGGUUCUGGAUCUAUUUUCCUCAUGUGAGACACAAGUGUGUUUAUUACUUGACGACUAAGACUAAAAUAACUGACUCUUCUUUUUACUCCCCCUCCUCCCCCCUCAGACCAGACAGAAUUUCGGUCAUGUUUUCGUUCCAGCUGUGGCGCUCCGCCCGUCCUGUCCGGGUCACAGUUCACGUCCAAGACCCUGUCGCAAUCCGUAAAGACGCGAUGUUCAGCCAGCUGUUUUAAAAGCCUCCCGAUCUUAUUCUUCUUCCUUUCCGCAGCUCUGGUGCAGCAGUGACUCUACAGAGUGCGUAUUCAUCCGGAAUUUCUGAGCGUUUGUGCGGAUCGCUUUUUUAAAUCGCGCAGCUCUGUGCAGCUCGGUGUAACUUUAGAAUCUUUGUAUUAAUUGUUCUGGUACUAGUGUCAUGUAAAAGUUUAGCGUAACCCAAAACUUUCUAAACGAUCGACGGAUGCCGAUCGGCUCAUUUGCAUACGGCGACGCCCACAAAACGCCUUAAAAGGAAAGCUGGCCGAUAUUUCCACUCGCGUCACCGUCGGUAAAAAUAUCAUUUAGCAGUGUGAGAGUUACAGACUUAAAUUUACUGAAAAUGUUUUGAUGUGAGGACAGCGUACGUUAUUUUUGGUAAAUAUUUCAAAAUAUGCUAAAUAAAUGAAGUAAAGGUUGAGCACCACUGCUACAGACCUUCAGCGUGUUCUCCUUUCGUACAGCUCAUGCCGUUAUACACUCCUAAUUUAAAUAUUUGUGUUCGCUUACUCUGUGUAAUAAUGAACUGAAAUAAAUAAACGAUUGGAACUCGUGCUCCGUAUAUGACGCCGUAAUGCCUCGUUAUACGAUCGGACCGGCGCAGGUUUCUACUGCUCGGGUUGUGUUCUAAUGGAGGAGUUAAUGAUCGUGAGCGUGAAGUGUUACUGGUGGUAGUGUUUUUAGAAAGUCCAGUAAGGCGCGGCGCGGUGAGCGAGUUCAUGUUUGAAAGACGGACACUUUGGCACGGUUCAGCGUUUCCACAUCACCUCCGGCGCUUUAUGGCGAGCUGCAGCGUGGGCAGCUCCGAGACGCGUUCAGUCAAACCGUACUCAGCUUAAUUGCUUCUGGGAAGAAGGGAAGAGUAAGAUGGCGAGUGGAAACGUGAGGUUUAAAUAGCGCCAUCGAUCGCACUCGAGUCAGAUAUCCAUUCCGUUUUUUUUCUCUCCGUAAUGUGAAAACGAUGGAAGCGUGUUUUUGUCCUGCGUGAUGUCAUGUGAUGUCAUGUCAUGUGAUGUGAUGUCAUGUGAUGUGAUGUCAUGUCAUGUGAUGUCAUGUGAUGUGAUGUCAUGUCAUGUGAUGUGAUGUCAUGUGAUGUCAUGUGAUGUGAUGUCAUGUGAUGUGAUGUCAUGUGAUGUGAUGUGAUGUGAUGUGAUGUCAUGUGAUGUGAUGUGAUGUGAUUUAUCUUGGCCUGAUGGAGGAAAUAAACAUGCAUCCAGUUACAGAUUUAUCCAGAUUUUUAUUCCCGGUGUCUGAUAAUCCGACCGGAAUAGCGAACGUUCAUUUCACGUGAACACGUGACGGAAAGAAUUUAAAUCUGUGCAGUACAGACGGAAUGAUUUGAGAAGCUGAGUGAGCUGACUGGACUCGUUUCUCGACCAAACCUCGCCCCACGCACGCGCGUAACCUCGGAUACGGUGAUGCGGAGCGGUCCGUACAGGGUCUCUCCGGGGUUUGUUUUUGUAAUCGUCGUGGCCAAAAAAACGCUCUAUUUAUUUAUUUAUUUAUUUAUUUAUUUAUUUAUUUAUUUAUUUUCAAAAUCCACGAUGCAGCUUGCAGUUUUUUUUGUUUUUUUUUAACGCGAUCCGGUGAAAUCGCAAGAAAUUCUUUCGCAGUGAUGUUUGCUGGUAAACGAGAGCUUUUAGACGCGCGUGAAUGGGAGAGGGAUUUGGCUGAAUGCACGUUAGGAUGUCACGUGACACGUCUUGGGCCAAAUCUGUUGAGUUUCCUUGAUUUUGAGUUGAUUUCUGCGCUCGGGGAAUCCCGGACGAACCGUAUGUGGAACCUUGAGGGGAAAAUUGUUCGUUCCUUUUUCACGUCUUUAAAAGCCUCGGCCUCGGCGUCCCUGUCGGUUGAUUCGGGGUUGCAGCGCAGCUGCUGAAAUUCCUGCCGCUGUUCGCACCGUGGACGUGGAGCGCGUGUUUGCAGGAGCCGAGCGACCGACGGUGUUUACGGCGCGAGAAGAAAUUCAGGGAUUUGUGGAACGGGAGCCGAGUCUGCUGCCGCGUUAUCGUCUCGGCCCCGUGGUUGGCUGGUCGGCGCUCGGUCUGUAGAGGGUGCGGUAUUUUCCGGAGCCUUCUCUGGUGCCGCCGUCGUGUCGGAGGUCUCGUCUAGAAGUGUGCGAGUGUGCGGGAGAGAGACGUGCCGAGGUCCUUGUAUUAUUCAGCUAGUCUGUGUGAAGGGUCUGUAGAGACGUGUGUAAGAGGAGAAGGUUCCACGUCUGCGCCCGUCUGGAUGAAGGAUCAGGUUCGAUGCGGCAGACUGUCCUGUAGCUCGAGUUCGGUACUUUUGGUACGGUACCGUAUGCGGGAUGCGUUCGUUUCUUUAUAUCAGAUUAUGUAAACGUCUUCUGUAGCAGGUGCAGUCGGUGAGAUGUUUACACGUUUAAAGGUGCAGUAUGCGUGUACACAAGGCUCCGCCCACAGAAUUACGGCACUUCAGCUAGCGUUAUUGUUAGCCGGACUGUCGUGACAUCACUUACGACCGCCAAGCCUUCGCCGUCCCGUUUUUCUUUGUAAUGGUUGGUUAUCAGGCUGCGCUGGGCGUUGGCUGAUUUCAGACUGAGGUGUGGGCGGAGUGUGUGGGUGUUUGGGGAGUGUCUAAAAUGGCUGACGAGGUCCAUGUUAACAAAAACAAACGGCUCAGGCUGAGGUUGUGGCUCGUUAAAAAAAAAAAAAAAAAUUUAAAAAUCAUGAUCUAAGUAUUUAUUUCUGCGUUGUACUAAAAGUAAAAACAAAAGUCUGUGAGAGUCAUGAUUCGAUUCUGGUGCGAGUGUUUUCCACAGCAGAUUCGCCUCUGACGCGAUCUGAACAGACUCGAGUGCCGUAGCACAGCGAUUAAAGUGGUUUUGGGGUAAAAACGCGAGCUGAAGGUUGUCGAAAGUGACGUUAAUCUUCAACAAAGCUAUCAGACUGGAUAUCAGGCACGACAACUGCAGCACCACGUCGUCCGCCAUCUUGUUUGAGUUGAGUCGAGUCACAUGACCACAGAUACAUCAUUAUGAAUGGAAUGGGUCUGUUUUCCCGGUCCGCGAAAGCCGCGUUUUCAAAAGACGUAGCGGGAGAAGGUGUUCUGAGAUGGAUCCGGGUUAAUGUGGACAUGGCGUCAUUAUUAAAGAGGAGCGAUUUGAUCCAGAGGAUUGAUUGGUUUCUUGUCCAGAUCGCGGUUGUUUCCUGUCGUCUGGCUUUAAUAGCGCAACGUCACUACGCUUGUGUCACAUGAUAGAACGGAUGACGUUAAUACGUGUGUGUGUGUGUGUGUGUGUGUGUGUGUGUGUAUCGGAGCGUAAUAUCGUAUCGGUGCGUCUAUAGCAUUUGACUCGAAGUCUCGUUGACGGAGCAGAUUGCGUUCUUUAUCUGGCGCGUUUUAUCAUUAAGCCUCAGAAAAUCCCCAAUUUAACUUCCUUUUUUUUUUUGUUGCGUCCAGGUCACAGGACGUUCAUUAAUCGGUCUCCCAUGACUUUCAUCCUUCAGAUUAUUCUGAGAUCAUACGUUUAUGAUGCGUUCUUCCACCGGAAAAGAAAAGUAACGCUCGACCCGUCCGGUGUUUUGUCGCGCUGCGUGUUUAGCGUGCGCGGCCGAUGGACGCCUCGUCAGAGUACAGAACGCGGAUACGGGUCACGCCGGCGGUGGGUUUUUAUCCGUCAUCACGCCGAUGAGAUGAAAGGCGGUACGAUGAGAGGCGAGGCGGGGCCGUAACGAGUCUCCAUGAUGCUGAACCUUCUCAGAAAGUCUGCCGAGACCCGAUGACGGACCGUUACACCGCGGAGAGGAGCGUACGCGCCGACGUUGGUGUAAAUGUGAUUUCCCUCUCCGUCUCCAUGCGAGAGCGCUGAGAGAUGGAUUUAUUCUGACUGAGCAUGGUCACGGUGACCCCGAUUCAUAACAGAGUCUAAUUGUGCAGUAACUGUACGUAAUUAAAUCACCUGAAAGCACCUGUCCUGCUUCUGCGCUCAUUUCCCCCCGAUCGCUUCACAUCUUCCCCCCCCCCCCCCCCCAGACCUUCUUGUGACCUUCGGACGAGGAUAAUUACUGUGAUUUCCUCGAUGACGUCCACCGCUAUCUUUAAACCGGUUACACGCUCGUCUCUUCAUCAGAUACGUCAGCAGGCUGAUGGGUGAUCGGUGACGUUUAUCAGACGUUUGCUUUGGAGAAAUCAUCAGUGGGAACCCGCACGCGUGAUCCUGAACGUUUUGGACUCCGUGAUUCCGAGCGCCGACGUCCCAAUUCGAUGUCCGCGGCGUUCCUCGUGGAGUACGGUCGGAGCGUUACCUCACCGCGGCCUGUUUUUUCCCGGAGGGUUGAAGUUGUUUCGACUCUAGAGCCGACGAGCGGCCCUACCGAUCUUCACACCAUCUUCACAUCGCCGCCAUAUCUGCUGCCGUGAAAUGAAACCGCGGACUGAUUUCAGUUCGGCUCGUCUGCAAAUUCACCGUGUGGGUUUUUCUCCGAGCGCAAACGAGGAGGAGGAGGAGGAGGAGGAUGCUCCUGUACUCCUGCUUCAUCAGAGGAGCCGGUUUACGUUCACAGCUUCUCUAGGAUCCAGUAGAACUCUGCAGCUCGUUAGCAGCCGGUCUUGAGAUGGAGCGGUGUCUUCACACGCUCUGACGCGCUUCACACGGUCGAGUCCAGACGAAACGGCGGGUUAAGGGAAAGCGGUGCGCGCGGCACAAUUUUCUCCUGGAUUCCUCAGUCGCUGACUGACUGUGUGACUGUUCUGUGUGAUGAACCGAGUAGCAUGAGCUCCACUGUGACUGGCAGCAAGAACACUGCCGAGAAACGGUCGAUGAGAAUCCGAGGGCAAAUCGGCUUCGUUUCCUGUCCUGCGCAGCAGAUCCCCGAAUCCAGGUGAUCAUCCGUCCGUCUGUGUCGGAGUGGCAGCAGGAACCAUAAAUUAGCAUUUUUAUAUGAAAUUCUGUGGCGUGUCGAGAUUAAACGGUUGUUAGGAACAGCGAGAACAAUCAACCAAACACGUCUGGAAGCGGACGGAGUAAAAACGGCGACGGUUCUCCUCCCUCCGUCUCCGCCUCCUGUUCCCGGCAGAGCAGACGAUCCUGACUGCCUGCGUCUCCCCAGCGGUUAUUCGUCCGAGGUUUCCCCUUAUUUCUCUUUUGCUUGUUUAUGAAAGAGAUGGUGCUCGAGUCAGGAUAGACAGGUCCGAUCUCAGCCCAACACCCCCGCAAGUGCUGAAGUGGAACGAACAGGAGAUGAAUCGGAGAAUCGGAUCAUCAACAAGCUUCAGAUAUCGAUCGUGUUCCAUUUGUAAUUAGAUGUGAGAAUGUUCGGG